rnacentral:rRNA from 1 species
AACGAACGCUGGCGGCGUGCUUAACACAUGCAAGUCUAACGGGAAUGUCGGCUUCGGCUGACUAGUACCGUGGCGAACGGGUGAGUAACACGUGGGUAAUCUGCCCUCGAGCUCGGGAUAACCUUGCGAAAGCGAGGCUAAUACCGGAUAAGACCACGCCCUGCCUGCAGGGUGCGGUAAAAGGUGGCCUCUUCCUGAAAGCGAUCACUUGAGGAUGAGCCCGCGGCCUAUUAGCUAGUUGGUGAGGUAAUGGCUCACCAAGGCGACGAUGGGUAGCCGGCCUGAGAGGGUGUACGGCCACACUGGCACUGAGACACGGGCCAGACUCCUACGGGAGGCAGCAGUGGGGAAUUUUGCGCAAUGGGGGAAACCCUGACGCAGCAACGCCGCGUGAGUGAUGAAGGCCUUCGGGUUGUAAAGCUCUUUUAGUGGGGAAGAAGCCCUCCCUGGCUAAUAUCCAGGGGGUCUGACGGUACCCACAGAAAAAGUUCCGGCUAACUACGUGCCAGCCGCCGCAGUAAAAC